CAGUCGCCACGGUAAAACGAAGGGUGCAAGCGUUACUCGGAAUUACUGGGCGUAAAGCGUGCGUAGGUGGUGGUUUAAGUCCGUUGUGAAAGCCCUGGGCUCAACCUGGGAAUUGCAGUGGAUACUGGAUCACUAGAGUGUGGUAGAGGAUAGUGGAAUUUCCGGUGUAGCAGUGAAAUGCGUAGAGAUCGGAAGGAACAUCUGUGGCGAAGGCGACUAUCUGGGCCAACACUGACACUGAGGCACGAAAGCGUGGGGAGCAAACAGGAUUAGAUACCCGCGUAGUCCCUGUCUCUUAUAC
rnacentral:rRNA from 1 species